rnacentral:rRNA from 1 species
CUACGGGGCGCAGCAGUCGCGAAACCUUUACAAUGCACGAAAGUGUGAUAAGGGGAUUCCAAGUGCCUAUAUUCUAUAUGGGCUUUUGCCAAGUGUAAAUAGCUUGGAGAAUAAGUGGUGGGCAAGACCGGUGCCAGCCGCCGCGGUAACACCGGCGCCACAAGUGGGGGCCAUAUUUAUUGGGUCUAAAGCGUUCGUAGCCGGUUUAGUAAGUCUUUUGUUAAAAUAUUUAGCUCAACUAAAUAUCUGCAAAAGAUACUGUUAAACUUGAGACUGGGAGGGGUUAGAAGUAUUCCGGGGGGAGCGGUAAAAUGUUAUAAUCCCUGGAGGACUACCUAUGGCGAAGGCAUCUAACUAGAACAGAUCUGACGGUGAGGGACGAAGGCUAGGAGAACAAAAAGGAUUAGAUACCCCCGUAGUC